GGCCUCGCCGGCCACACCUUCGUCCCUCCCCUCGCAGGCUGUUGAAACGUGCCGGCAGCGAGCCGGGGCAGGAAGGUGGCGCCCGCAGGCCGCAGCAGCCCCUAACGAGGCUCUCGGUGACGUUCAGGUGCCACCGGCAGGUCCCUCCCAGCCCCUCGCUAGGUCCUUUGGGACCGACGGUCUUUUCUAUUCUCUGGGGGUCGAUUUUGCAGUUCUGCUGGAAGCCUGGCAGCGUGUUUGCUCCCCCAAACCAUGGAACUACCAGGCAGCCAGCGGACUGCAGGAAGUUACAGCGACUGGCGUGAACCAAUCAUCCUGAAAGUCCCUGCCGCACAUGACUUUCUCGGCCACCUGCACUCGUGGGGAAAGAAACAGUGUUCCCUGUUAGUGGCAUUAAGGCACGGAGCUGCACGUCGAGCCCGGAAGAAAGGCUGGGAGUGCCCUCCCCGGGGGCCUCAAGACCCGCCAACAGCGUGAAGUUCAGCGGAGCCCGUGCGAGCCUGAACCGGGCUGUCUGGUCUUCGGGUGGCUUUCAAGGGCUUCCUGAAAACGCAGGGAGAAAGGAGAGACGUUUUGAAAUGGUAAAACUGUACCGUUGUGAACGCCAGCAUAACACCGGGGAGGGGGCACUGGAGUCUCAAAGCUGAAGGAGUUCAACAUUUCAA